UGUUGUUGUUGAUUCGUGCGGAGCACGCAGAGGACGUUUUUUUUAGUUCUGCUAAAUUUAUUGUUAUUUUUUUAAGCAAUAUAGUUAGUCGGUAGAAAUUGCAAUUCUACAUCGACAAGUGAUGGUUGUCUCGACCAAAAUAGGUUAAAAAUUGCAACAGUUUUGGAUGCGAAAAUCGCUCCGGUGUGGGGUUAGUUUCUUCCCGGUUGCCUGCCGUAAGAACAAGGUCUACCACCGGUGAACAAAACUUAUGCCCCGGUCAGGUGAAAGACACGAGCGGAUUUGCAGCCAGCAUUUUGCGGCCAACGAUUUCAUCGAAAAUACCAGAUAGAAACUACAUAACGUUGCAGUUCCAACGGUAAAGCUGCAAGACGGGAAAAUACUGCGUGGGACAGAAUGUUGUGUCCCCAAAUGCAAGCCAUACAAAGCAAAGCGGGGUCUCCACCACUUCCCUACGCUCAAAUCCGUCCGUAUGAAGGAAAAAGGCGUUGAGGAUGGAUGAAGCUGAAGCCCAAAAGCUACUGCGGUUCUGUACAGGAAGAUAACUAGGUUGGUUAAGAUUCCGCGGCGGUCGUUGAUACACCUGAUUCACCCACACACUUGAAGGACUACAAUUACACCAAAUAUGCAUGCAACAACGGAGUAACCGAUUAUGUUUUGUGGAAGGAUGUCAAUCAAAAAACGGAAGGCAACAUAAAAUUUCACAAAUUUCCGGUUGCACAAGACCUGCGGUAUAAAGUGGAUUCUGAUUUUAAAAUGCUCCAAGUUGCCAACACGAAAUUUAACAUUUUACAUUUCAGAAAGACCGACUAUCAGAGGUGGACCAAGGAUGAAGCGGAUUGCAAUACCAUCAAUGAGAAUUUCUGACGCAGCCGUUGAUUCGUCAACAAUAACCAAUUCGUUCGAUAAAUCAACAUCAACUAAAGAAAGCCCUGCCCAUAGGUUCACAUCUGAACUUCUGGAUCACCAAAUCACUAACGAAGUCAACAAUCCUUACACGCCAAAUACGGUAUCCUAUUCGUAUGACGACAACCUUAGUAAGUUUAUCGCUGGUCAAAGUGUUGUUAAAAGUGAUUUAGGCGAAUAUCCUUCUAUUAGAUGUGUCUCAAUUGACAAUUUCUGGUAUGCCUCUUGCUAGCAGCUACGCUAAAAAAAAAUGCCUGGAAUAAAGGAUACCUUCCAGGCAUCAGCGAAGAUAAGCCUCUUUCGAUUCGAAUAACCAGGAUUCUGCUGCGAUUACAAACUCAGAUGUCGGAAAUUCAACGAAGAUCAAGUCCGGUUUGCUUAUACUGUCUGACUUACUAGUGAGCGAUAAAGAACCGGAUGACCUACACUCGCCUUGCUGGAAGAGAUUUGUUUAGCUUGUAGAAAGUUGGAACAGAUGUUGUCAAACAAUUCAACAUGCAUACAACUGAUAGAGUAAUCUUGACGCUUGCCAAGCUUAAACAAAAUCUAUCAUACGAAGCAUUAGGAAUAUUGUUCCGUGUUGCAGCAGUCACCGUCUACUUUUCUCACAUGGUUCAAGUGUAACUCCUUCAAUCCUUGGUCAUAUUGACGACAUACCUACGAUUAUUUGUACAAGCGUCAAUCUUAGUGCAUCAAUCUUGGUCGAUGGCCAGUUGUAGUAAGUUUACUGUUAUUAACUUAACUGGCCUACGUGACGGUCAUGUAUGAUAAAUAAAAAUGUACGCAAUGUAUCGUAUUUAAUGUGCUUUUUUGUGAAAAAUUAAAUGAGAAAUUUUCCUUGGUUCUCGCAUA